UCGCAAGGGAACGGGUCGAUUUUAAUGAGCCACCAAGUCAAGGGAGCCCCUGGGGCCGCCCGAGCAGAUACCUGCUGUCGCUGGGUUUCAGGUUUGGGCGCAGCAGGAAUCCACGGAGGGCGAUCGCUGUCGUGCCCCCGCCUGCCCGCCUGCUAGGAGUCGGGCAUCCCGCAACCAUCUCGCUAUCCAGGCUCGCCGGCAAGGCUACGCGGAGGACGGGGCCCCUGGCUUUCUGAACGAGUUCUAGGACAAAAUGAUCCCUGUGGUGGCAGUAAACUUCACCAUGCAACUGGCACAUGAGAGAGAAAGAGGAUAAAGACAAUGCCUUGUUGUGAUUUCAACUCAGUUUAUUCCUAGAUGUCAGUGGACUUGCUUCUCCAUUGUCUGUUUGAUCAACAGUUCUGCCUCUCACAUUCUCCAGGAGGUCCAAGCUGAAAUAAAUCUGGAAUCA